CCUAACACAUGCAAGUCGAACGGUAACAGGAAACAGCUUGCUGUUUCGCUGACGAGUGGCGGACGGGUGAGUAAUGUCUGGGAAACUGCCUGAUGGAGGGGGAUAACUACUGGAAACGGUAGCUAAUACCGCAUAACGUCGCAAGACCAAAGAGGGGGACCUUCGGGCCUCUUGCCAUCGGAUGUGCCCAGAUGGGAUUAGCUAGUAGGUGGGGUAACGGCUCACCUAGGCGACGAUCCCUAGCUGGUCUGAGAGGAUGACCAGCCACACUGGAACUGAGACACGGUCCAGACUCCUACGGGAGGCAGCAGUGGGGAAUAUUGCACAAUGGGCGCAAGCCUGAUGCAGCCAUGCCGCGUGUAUGAAGAAGGCCUUCGGGUUGUAAAGACCUUU
rnacentral:rRNA from 1 species